GGGUAAGAAAACUAAUCUGUUAUAGUUAGUGAGGCCACUUACCUGGUCCUUACCUUUCCCUGGAAACCUAUCUUCCUGAUCUAUAGACACAGUGGUGGGUAGAAGGAAUCCCCUACAAGAUACUACUUUACUACCUCAGGCAUCUAUCAAGUUGAAGACCAGGCUUUUAAUUAUGUAUUCCUGACAGUCGCUCAAUAACCUCCCAUUUUGGAAAGAGACUUGUGCUACCUAGAGCAAUCUUGUAAUACUCUAGGGGCUCUAGACCCCAGCCUCCAAAAGACCCCCAAGAAAGUAACCCACAAAAUGAAUCUGACUGUUUGGGGUACAAGAACCCCUGGAUAAGCUAAAACAUCUUGCUCCAGUAAAAAUCUAUUCAAAACCUGGGAUAAGUUAUCUAAUGAAGACAGGCCCAUUAAAGAGGAAAGUUGAAUUAGAAAUACAAUGUAUUAUUAAAACUUUUCUACAAUAU
rnacentral:lncRNA from 1 species